rnacentral:rRNA from 1 species
CCGGCNCUAACGCGUUAAGUGAACCGCCUGGGGAGUACGGUCGCAAGACUAAAACUCAAAGGAAUUGACGGGGGCCCGCACAAGCGGUGGAGCAUGUGGUUUANUUCGAUGCAACGCGAAGANCCUUACCUGGGCUUGACAUCCACGGAACCUGCUGGAAACAGCAGGGUGCCCUUCGGGGAGCCGUGAGACAGGUGCUGCAUGGCUGUCGNCAGCUCGUGUCGUGAGAUGUUGGNUUACNUCCCGCACCGANCGC